UAAAAGGUAAGCUAAUUAAAGCUCCUGGGCUCAUACCCCAUAUAUGAAGGUAAACCCCUUCUCUUUUAA
rnacentral:tRNA from 1 species